CACAAAUAGAUUAACUGCGCAGCUCCCGUCACACCACCAACAACCACUUCACCACCUGUUCAUCGGGGUACUCCGCCGUGUCAUCCUCCGCUGGAUGAGGAAAACAAAGAUUCAACUCUUGAAUUUGAAAUUAGGGUUCUUAACAUUGAUAGCUUCCAAAUCCCAAUCACAAACAUGUUGAGACUGAAUCGAUUAAUAAAACACAUUAAUAACUCUACCAAGUCUUCACUUCUCUUACUUCAAAAGCAGCAGCAACAAGAGAAGCUCUUAUACUUUCCCUUCUCGGUGUUUCUUAUAAAAGACCUCCACUCGCUUCCUUGACAUGUGCUAUCUUUGAAACAAAGCAGCUAUUGAGAAAGAGCGUGCAAGGCUGCAAGUGUUUUGUGCCCCUCUCUCUCUCUCUCUCUCUCCUGUAUGUGUGUGAUUACUUGCAACUUUUUUUUCUUUGAUUUUAUAUUUGAGUGAGGGUAGAUUGAGGUUUAAUUAAUUAUUGUCUGAUGUGAUUUAGGACAGUGCAGAUGAGAUGAAUAGGGGUUACUUUGCUGAUAUUGCAGAGUUCAAGCAACAUGGUGGUAGGGUAAGAUUGCAGUGGCAAAUAAAGUUAUAAUUCCAGCAAUGGCAGUAGUGAAGUUUCCCAACUUAGAAGUGAACUUUUCUGAUGGUAAAACUUUAAAGUUUGCCUUUUGGGUCCAGUGGAAGUGUGGCUGAUGCUGACACAUCAACUAUGCCUAAAGCAUCUUUACUAUGUCUUUCAUUUCAAGCAAGCU